GAUGAACGCUAGCUACAGGCUUAACACAUGCAAGUCGAGGGGCAUCAGGAAGAAAGCUUGCUUUCUUUGCUGGCGACCGGCGCACGGGUGAGUAACACGUAUCCAACCUGCCCUUUACUCGGGGAUAGCCUUUCGAAAGAAAGAUUAAUACCGCAUAAUGUUGAAAGAUGGCAUCAUCAUUCAACCAAAGGAGCAAUCUGCUAUGAGAUGGACCCGCGGCGCAUUAGCUAGUUGGUGGGGUAACGGCCUACCAAGGCGACGAUGCGUAGCCGACCUGAGAGGGUGAUCGGCCACAUUGGGACUGAGACACGGCCCAG
rnacentral:rRNA from 1 species